rnacentral:rRNA from 1 species
GAUGAACGCUGGCGGCGUGCCUAAUACAUGCAAGUCGAGCGAACAGAUGAGGAGCUUGCUCCUCUGACGUUAGCGGCGGACGGGUGAGUAACACGUGGAUAACCUACCUAUAAGACUGGGAUAACUUCGGGAAACCGGAGCUAAUACCGGAUAAUAUAUUGAACCGCAUGGUUCAAUAGUGAAAGACGGUUUUGCUGUCACUUAUAGAUGGAUCCGCGCCGCAUUAGCUAGUUGGUAAGGUAACGGCUUACCAAGGCAACGAUGCGUAGCCGACCUGAGGGGGUGAUCGCCCACACUGGAACUGGGACCCGGCCCAGCCCCCUAGGGGGGGCAGCAGGGGGGAAUCUUCCGCAAGGGGCGAAAGCCUGACGGAGCAACGCCGCGUGGGUGAUGAAGGUCUUCGGAUCGUAAAACUCUGUUAUUAGGGAAGAAAAAAUUGGUAAGUAACUAUGCACGUUUUGACGGUACCUAAUCAAAACGCCCCGGCAAACUACGC